rnacentral:rRNA from 1 species
UACGUAGGUGACCAGCGUUGUCCGGAUUUACUGGGCGUAAAGGGCGCGUAGGCGGCUUGACAAGUCACUUGUGAAAUCUCCGGGCUUAACUCGGAACGGCCAAGUGAAACUGUCAUGCUAGAGUGCAGAAGGGGCAAUCGGAAUUCUUGGUGUAGCGGUGAAAUGCGUAGAUAUCAAGAGGAACACCUGAGGUGAAGACGGGUUGCUGGGCUGACACUGACGCUGAGGCGCGAAAGCCAGGGGAGCAAACGGG